GCCUUUGUAGCUGAAAUGGAUUAGCACCUGCCUUUUAAGCAGGGGAUGUUGGAUCGUUACCAACCGGGGGCAC
rnacentral:tRNA from 1 species